UCCGGUUUGUCACCGGCAGUCUCCCAUGAGUCCCCAACCUAAUGCUGGCAACUAAGGGUAAGGGUUGCGCUCGUUGCGGGACUUAACCCAACAUCUCACGACACGAGCUGACGACAGCCAUGCAGCACCUGUCUCUGGGUUCCCGAAGGCACCCCCGCAUCUCUGCAGGGUUCCCAGGAUGUCAAGACCAGGUAAGGUUCUUCGCGUUGCAUCGAAUUAAACCACAUGCUCCACCGCUUGUGCGGGUCCCCGUCAAUUCAUUUGAGUUUCAACCUUGCGGCCGUACUCCCCAGGCGGAGAACUUAACGCGUUAGCUACGACACCGAGAGGCAAACCCUCCCGACAUCCAGUUCUCAUCGUUUAUGGCGUGGACUAC
rnacentral:misc_RNA from 1 species